rnacentral:rRNA from 1 species
GCUCGUAGGCAGGAGGUUCUUUCCGAGCGCGCCUGCCGCCGUGUUUACUGUACCUUAGAUGCUUCGGCGGGCCCGCCAUUCAUGGCCGCCGGGGGCUCUCAGCCCCGGGCCCGCGCCCGCCGGAGACACCACGAACUCUGUCUGAUCUAGUGAAGUCUGAGUUGAUUGUAUCGCAAUCAGUUAAAACUUUCAACAAUGGAUCUCUUGGUUCCGGCAUCGAUGAAGAACGCAGCGAAAUGCGAUAACUAGUGUGAAUUGCAGAAUUCCGUGAAUCAUCGAGUCUUUGAACGCACAUUGCGCCCCCUGGUAUUCCGGGGGGCAUGCCUGUCCGAGCGUCAUUGCUGCCCAUCAAGCACGGCUUGUGUGUUGGGUCGUCGUCCCCUCUCCGGGGGGGACGGGCCCCAAAGGCAGCGGCGGCACCGCGUCCGAUCCUCGAGCGUAUGGGGCUUUGUCACCCGCUCUGUAGGCCCGGCCGGCGCUUGCCGAACGCAAAUCAAUCUUUUUCCAGGUUGACCUCGGAUCAGGUAGGGAUACCCGCUGAACUUAAGCAUAUCAAUAAGCCGGGAGGAAA